CUGGUGGGAGGUGAUUGGAUCGUGGGGUGGUUUUCCCGAUGCUGUUCUCGUGAUACUGAAUAAGUCUCACGAGAUCUGAUGGUUUUAUAAAGGGCAGUUUCCCUGCGCUUGCUCACGCUGGCCUGCCACCUUGUGAGGGGAGUGGCUGCUUCCUAUUCUGCCGUGAUUUUAAGUUUCCUGAGGCCACCCGAGCCGUAUGUGGAAAGGAACUCGGUACUUGGGGGAAAAAAAAAAUGAAUGAAUCAUCUCUCCCUUCUCCCCCAACCAACCAACAAAUUAAUCGACCACCAUCAACAAAAGGUCUCCUUGUUUUAUUUGCAUGAUUUACAAAGGAUCUGGGAAUACAUUAGUGAAGGAAACAGAUAAGGUCUUUGACUUCAUGGAGUUACAGUGUUACAAGGGAAAGAGACGUUAAACAGGGCCUGCUAUCUGUCAUGUGAUGCUGCACUAGAGUCAGGCUGGAAUUUGAUAUCUUAUUGCUACAAAAAGUCUUAAGAUCUCUUUUAAUAUUAAUGCUGUUCGGUUGUGCAUGAAUUCCAAAGGGAGGAAGGUAUAGUGAGUCACGUCCGAGCCCCCUUCCCGUCAUGGCCUGAACUAGUUUUUCAGGUUAACUUUGGAAUGCCCUUGGCUGAAAGGAGGUGUUUAUUCAAAAAGUUGGGGGGCUCAGAAUUUUAUUUUUGUUCUUAUUCUUAGUUUACAAAGUACAUUUACAUUGUUGUGCAAACAUCACUACUACUCAUCUCCAGAACUUUCUCAUCACUCUGAAAUGAAACUCUGAAAGGGCGUGGUGACUCACAUCUGUAAUCCCAGCACUCUUGGAGGCCAAAGUGGGAAGAUUGCCUGAGGUCAGGAGUUCGAGACCUGCCUGGGCAACAUGGUGAAACCCUGUCUCUACUAAAAAUACAAAAAUUAGCUGGGUGUGGUGACGCAUGCCUCUAAUCCUAGAUACUCAGGAGGCUGAGGCAGGAGAAUCGCUUGAACCCAGGGGGCGGAGGUUGCAGUGAGCCGAGAUCACACCACUGCACUCCAGCCUGGGCAACAGAGCAAGACUCUGUCUCAAAAAAUAAAACGAAACUCUGUACCUAUUAAAAAAAUAACUCCCCAUUUCCCCCUCCCAAGACCCUGUUAUCCACCAUUCUACCUUCUGUCUAUAUAAAUCUGACUCCUCUAGGUAUCUCAUCUAAGUGGAAUCAUACAAUAUUUGUGAGGUUUUUUUUGGUCUGGCUUAUUACACUUAGCAUAAUGUAUUCAAGGUUAAUUCUUGCUGUGACGUGUCAAAAUUGCAUUCCGUUUUAAGGUUAAUAUUCCAUUGCAAGUAUAUAUACACUUUUUGUUUAUCCAUUCAUUCUUUGGUGGACAUUUGGGUAGCGGUAAAUUUUGAAUCAUCUUAAUAUAAUGAAUGAUUAUCUGUGUAGAAAGUGAGGUAAGGAAAUGAAAAUAUUGUACUUGAAAAGAAAAAGGAAAGGA
rnacentral:lncRNA from 10 species